GACGCGCGGCGGUUGGCGUGGUGUCGCCGAUGACCAUUGCGGUUUUGAGAGAUGAGAGAGACGAGCUGGGGGAGUCGUAGCUUUCCGUUGAAAAUUUCCGAGGCAGCGGCAACGGCCGAUUAGGUGGGUUCUUCGAGUUUUCCAUGAAUUGUUUGCCCUGGGCCAUGCUGGUAUCCGGAAUCGAUUGAGCUUUGCUUCCGGACUAAAUUGGUACAACUGCAUGUGGUCUAAAAAUUCUGAUUUUUGUUCGAGAGACUCCGUUCCAGCCCGACUGUAUCCCAUGCACUGCUAUCGAGAUUGAUGGCGUUUAUUCAUGGCCAUGGGAGUUGCGAACGACUGAAUUCUGCCACAGGAGAAAGAGUAGCGAGAGGGAGAUCGUUUUCCAGGUUUUGAGCUCUCUGUAGCAGCGACUAGCUUGGGAGAGAGAGAGCAGAGAAGUAACAAGAUAAAAAAGGUCAAAGGCUUCACCUCAUCUGCUGCGAUGUAUUUGUCGAUUGUAUCCCGUCAUUGUUUGUAGGUUCAAUUCAGUGUAUGAUUUUGUGGAGUUGCCAAAGGAUUUGUCAAAGUAUGUCUUAGAUCCUUGUAUCUAUUUUUCGUGUAAAGGUCCAGAAGAACUUAUGGUUGGAUAUUAGUCAAAACUUCUAUUUGUGUCUCGUA